rnacentral:lncRNA from 1 species
CUCUGGCAUAAAUAGGCCCUCAAUAAUUAUAAUAAAUAAAUGAAGCAAUUAUCAAGCGCAAAAAAUCCUGUCUCAUAGCACUUAACUAUAGCAGUCUGGUUUAGAUAUUUACAUGUAUUUUAGAGUUCCUCAUUAAAUUGUAAGAUAUUUUAGGGAAGGCACUUUGCCUUAUUUUUCUUCUUUAAAUGGUGCUUGACACAUAGUUAGAACUCUAUAAAUGGUGAUUGAAUGGUUAGCAAGCUAUAGUUUACUUUUUUUAAAAAUCAACCAAAGACUAAUUUAAGCCUUAUAAGCUUAUACGAAAUGCUGAAAUAUUACAAUAAAUGAUCUUGAAGCCAGCAUGAUUCUACAUUAGAAGUAUGAGGUUGCUGUGUUUCUGUCUUCCUGGUUGCCUAGAAACAAAGAUGUGAAGUUAUAUGAGCCUACAAGAGCUUGUACCAAUAAGAUUAUCUAUGCAAAGUUCAGCCUGACUCUCUGGAUUUGCAAGGCAUCAGUUCUGAAGAGCUUCAGACAACACUGUGCUCCUCAUAGUUUCAAGUUUGAAAAGUUUAGCUUUCUUUCAUUAUGGCAUCUCUUUUUGUCAUUGCUUUGGCAAAAUAAAUUAGAGCAAAAUUUAAAAGUGUAUCUAAAAACAUAUUCAUCUUGUGGUAGGAAGCAAAAUUUUAGAAGUUUGACAGUUGGGCAUCCAGAUUUGAAGAAGAAAAAAAAUAUAGUAAGCAUGCCAGCGUUUCAUUUUGAAAUAGAAAACAUAAUCCAAAAUUAGGAAAAGGUGACAAUCAAUUUGGAAAAUCACUUAUGAGCAGAUAUAUAAUAAUAUGCUGUGAAAUUUAUUUUUAAUAUGUAACAUUUCACAGAGUUCUGAGUAAGGAUCUGAAAUAGAUACAAUGGUCCAAGUAGUCUCCAUUCUCAUUGCCAAAAGAUAUUCUGAAUUGGCAUACAUUUAGGAAAUAUUUCCAGUGAAAAUAUUUCUGCUGUGACUGAGAAAUUAGUGUAUUUUUAUUAGAAUUGACAAAAUCAAUCAGAGUUUUAGAUAUACUUUAGCUUAAAAAAGAAAACAAACUAUUUCUCUCCUACUCGAAUUUUUAUAUUUCACAUUAAUUUUUUCUCUGCCUGGAAAUCUCCCACUGCUUCCCCCCUCAGUCCAGGUCCUUCUCAUUCUUUAUUCAGCUAAUGUUGGUCAUGUGCUAAAUUAUGUCAGACAUUAUGUUCAGGCACCUCAUUUCAUUUUAUUUUUGAAAGAGUUCUCUAAAAUAAAUAAGUACUAUCAUUUCUUUUUAUAGAAGAG